GACGAACGCUGGCGGCGUGCUUAACACAUGCAAGUCGAACGGUGAAGCUCCAGCUUGCUGGAGUGGAUCAGUGGCGAACGGGUGAGUAACACGUGAGCAACCUGCCCCUGACUCUGGAAUAAGCGCUGGAAACGGCGUCUAAUACUGGAUACGAGAAGGGUCCGCAUGGGCACUUUCUGGAAAGUUUUUCGGUUGGGGAUGGGCUCGCGGCCUAUCAGCUUGUUGGUGAGGUAAUGGCUCACCAAGGCAACGACGGGUAGCCGGCCUGAGAGGGCGACCGGCCACACUGGGACUGAGACACGGCCCAGACUCCUACGGGAGGCAGCAGUGGGGAAUAUUGCACAAUGGGCGAAAGCCUGAUGCAGCGACGCCGCGUGAGGGAUGACGGCCUUCGGGUUGUAAACCUCUUUCAGCAGGGAAGAAGCGAAAGUGACGGUACCUGCAGAAGAAGCACCGGCUAACUACGUG
rnacentral:rRNA from 1 species